rnacentral:ncRNA from 1 species
AGAGUAGGAAUAUGAGCGUUAAGUGUUGCCCGAACGGGGAGUUGUCGGGCAGACGAAAAGCUGUAUGGCUUGCGGUUCAUAUUUCGCAUCCCGCU